rnacentral:rRNA from 1 species
AUUGAACGCUGGCGGCAGGCCUAAAACAUGCCAGUCGAACGAGUGGCGGCCGGGUGAGUAAUGUCUGGGCAACUUCCAGAUGGAGGGGGAUAACUACUGGACACGGUAGAUAAUACCGCCUACCAUCAUAUGUGCCCAUAUUGGAUGAGCUUGUUGGUGGGUUAACGGCUCACCAAGGCGACUAUCCCGAGCGGGUCUGAGCGGUGGACCAGCCACACGGGAACUGAGAAACGGUCCAGACGCCUACGGGAGGCAGCAGUGGGGAAUAGUGGGCAAUGGGCGCAAGCCUGAUGCAGCCAUGCGGCGUGUAUGAAGAAGGCCUUCGGGUGGUAAAGUACUUUCAGCGGGGAGGCGUUACCCGCAGAAGAAGCACCGGCUAACUCCGUGCCAGCAGCCGCGGUAAUUC